UGGGCUACUGACUUUUCCCCUAACACAGUCUUACCAUCCUUGGGCCUGCUUCCAGACAGCCCAGAUGCUUUCCCUUCCUGCUUCAGACCUAGUUUAAAGCCCUCUCGACAAGGUCUGCCAGUUCAUGAGCUAAAAACUUCCUGCCCUUAACAGAGAGAUGCAUCACAUCUGAUUGCAGUAGAGCAGGUUAUACAUAUGAAGCUAUACUUUUUUCCCCAUUACAUUUAAUUUUCAUAUUCUGAAGACACCAAUGAGAACAGAUGAGCUUUUUUUAGAACUCCAGAUGGACUUCAAUGGAGACAUCUACUUGGAUGUCAAAAAAAGUACAUUAUUUAUUUUAAUUUUGCCAAAUUCUUAAAAAUAUAUGUGUCUGAUUUCCUUUA